CCGCGAUUCGCCCUUCGGGGUGCCAGGCGCGAAAACUUUACACUGCGGGAAACCGCGAUAAGGGGACCCCGAGUGCCAGCACCUAGUGCUGGCUGUCCAGCUGUCCAAAUAACAGUUGUUAGCAAGGGCCGGGCAAGACCGGUGCCAGCCGCCGCGGUAACACCGGCGGCCCGAGUGGUAGCCGUUAUUAUUGGGUUUAAAGGGUCCGUAGCCGGCCUAUUAAGUCUCUUGGGAAAUCUGGCGACUUAAUCGUCAGGUGUCCAAGAGAUACUGGUAGGCUUGGGACCGGGAGAGGUGGGAGGUACUCCAGGGGUAGGGGUGAAAUCUCGUAAUCCUUGGGGGACCACCGAUGGCGAAGGCAUCCCACCAGAACGGGUCCGACGGUGAGGGACGAAAGCUGGGGGCACGAACCGGAUUAGAUACCCGGGUAGUCCCAGCUGUAAACGAUGCUCGCUAGGUGUCAGGUGCGGUGCGACCGCAUCUGGUGCCGCAGUGAAAACUUGAAGCGAGUCACCUGGGAAGUACGGUCGCAAGGCUGAAACUUAAAGGAAUUGGCGGGGGAGCAC
rnacentral:rRNA from 1 species